rnacentral:rRNA from 1 species
CCUACGGGUGGCUGCAGUGGGGAAUCUUGGGCAAUGGGCGCAAGCCUGACCCAGCAACGCCGCGUGAAGGAUGAAGGUUUUCGGAUUGUAAACUUCUGUCGCGAGGGACGAAGAAUGACGGUACCUCGUAAUAAAGCCCCGGCUAACUACGUGCCAGCAGCCGCGGCUAUCAGCAGGGGGCCAGCGUUGUCCGGAAGGACUGGGCGUAAGGGGUGUGUAGGCGGCCUUGUAAGUGAGAUGUGAAAUCCUACGGCUUAACCGUAGAACUUCAUCGAAAACGGGGGGGCUGGAGGGCAGGAGAGGUGAGUGGAAUUACAAGUGUAGCGGUGGAAGGCGUAGAUAUAAGGAGGAACACCAGAGGCGAAGGCGACUCACUGGACUGUAACUGACGCUGAGGCUCGAAAGCGUGGGGAGCAAACAGGAUUAGAUACCCCAGUAGUC